rnacentral:rRNA from 1 species
UACGGGGGGGCAAGCGUUGUUCGGAAUUACUGGGCGUAAAGGGCGCGUAGGCGGCCCUCUAAGUCAGACGUGAAAUCCCACGGCUCAACCGUGGAACUGCGUCUGAUACUGGAGGGCUUGAAUCCGGGAGAGGGAUGUGGAAUUCCAGGUGUAGCGGUGAAAUGCGUAGAUAUCUGGAGGAACACCGGUGGCGAAGGCGGCAUCCUGGACCGGUAUUGACGCUGAGGCGCGAAAAGCUAGGGGAGCAAACGGGG